rnacentral:rRNA from 1 species
AGACAGCAGUAGCCGCGGUAAUACAGAGGGUGCGAGCGUUAAUCGGAUUUACUGGGCGUAAAGCGUGCGUAGGCGGCUUUUUAAGUCGGAUGUGAAAUCCCUGAGCUUAACUUAGGAAUUGCAUUCGAUACUGGGAAGCUAGAGUAUGGGAGAGGAUGGUAGAAUUCCAGGUGUAGCGGUGAAAUGCGUAGAGAUCUGGAGGAAUACCGAUGGCGAAGGCAGCCAUCUGGCCUAAUACUGACGCUGAGGUACGAAAGCAUGGGGAGCAAACAGGAUUAGAUACCCCAGUAGUCCCUGUCUCUUAUAC